rnacentral:sRNA from 1 species
AAUGAUACCAUUGAAGAAUAUAAAGCGAACAGACCUUUACCUUUGCCCCACGAAUUUGAAUAUGGUGCGUAUCAUGUUUAUGCAGAAACAUCGAAAUCUAUAAAAAACGAAAGUUCAGACCAGACCAACGUGAACCAAAGACUGAGCUCUGUUGAUUACAUGUAUAUAGAGCCUGAUUUAGAAAAAGAAAAAAUAUAUGAUUCUUCAGAAUCUUCUACUGAUUGUGGAAGUGUACUAGGCAUGUACAACUCGAUAAAAUAAACAAUUCCUUAAAAGUAUAAUGUUCACUAUUGAAUCGGUUUAAUACAUUUAAAUACUACAUUUUUAUUGUAGAACUAUAUAAGUAUCUUCCAAAGUCUUAAUUUUUUUUAAAUAACCGAUUCACAAAAUAGCCGCAGACUUUUGUACAUUGAAACUUUUUAAAAAUAUAAUAAUAAAAAUAAAACUAA